UGGGGAAUUUUGCGCAAUGGGCGCAAGCCUGACGGAGCAAUACCGCGUGAGGGAGGAAGGCUUUUGGGUUGUAAACCUCUUUUCUCAAGGCAGAAGCACUGACGGUACUUGAGGAAUCAGCAUCGGCUAACUCCGUGCCAGCAGCCGCGGUAAUACGUAGGGUCCUAGCGUUAUCCGGAAUCAUUGGGCGUAAAGAGCUCGUAGGCGGUUCAGCAAGUCGGCUGUGAAAGUCCGAGGCUCAACCUCGGAAUUGCAGUCGAUACUGUUGUGACUCGAGUCCGGUAGAGGAGAAUGGAAUUCCCGGUGUAGCGGUGAAAUGCGCAGAUAUCGGGAGGAACACCAGUAGCGAAGGCGGUUCUCUGGGCCGGCACUGACGCUGAGGAGCGAAAGCGUGGGGAGCAAACAGGAUUAGAUACCCGGGUAGUCC
rnacentral:rRNA from 1 species